UUCAAUUCAUUUUUAUUUAUAUGUAAAUUUGUAUUUGAUAAAUUUUAUUUUAAAUGUUCAAUUAUACAUGUACAUGACAUACAACUUUACAUGGAGUAGGACAAUUUAAAUCUGCAAAAGCCUUUAAUUGGCUAUCCAUGCAACAUGCUAGACACAAUGUUAAGUUUCUGAGGAACUUCUUUGAAAGUGGACAUGGGAAAGGAGAGCACGAUGGAGCAGGAGCAUGUGUGUAGCGUGCACUUCGCCAACAUGAACUUGCAUGUAAUAGCAUAGAGAAUUCAAACAAAAUUGUUGAAUGGUGUCAAAGUUAUUUUGCUAGUUGGGACACGCCAUACAACAAACGUUAUUUUUGGGAAGUGAAAGGUAUUGAUCGAUCUAAUCUUUACAAUUGUCAAACAAUUGUUGGUAUUAGAAGUUUACAUCAAGUGAUGACUACAGGACACCACAAGCCUCCAUUGAUUCAAGUAAGAGAAAAAUCAUGCUUUUGUGCUGACUGUGUUGAGGACAAUCCAAUGAAUCAAUGCGAGAAUAUUGCAAAUGGAUAUGUCUCACAAUGUGAUAUGAAAGAGUUAAUCAGAAUGUCUCCUUAUGAAGAUGAUAAAAAUGGCAUAAACAUUCAUGAUCCUAAAUAUUCAACUGAUUAUGAACGUGUUUCUGAUUUAGUCAUUACA